UUAAGUUAUUAAGGGCGCACGGUGGAUGCCUUGGCACUAGAAGCCGAUGAAGGACGUUACUAACGACGAUAUGCUUUGGGGAGCUGUAAGUAAGCUUUGAUCCAGAGAUUUCCGAAUGGGGAAACCCAGCAUGAGUUAUGUCAUGUUAUCGAUAUGUGAAUACAUAGCAUAUCAGAAGGCACACCCGGAGAACUGAAACAUCUUAGUACCCGGAGGAAGAGAAAGAAAAUUCGAUUCCCUUAGUAGCGGCGAGCGAAACGGGAAGAGCCCAAACCAACAAGCUUGCUUGUUGGGGUUGUAGGACACUCUAUACGGAGUUACAAAGGACGACAUUAGACGAAUCAUCUGGAAAGAUGAAUCAAAGAAGGUAAUAAUCCUGUAGUCGAAAAUGUUGUCUCUCUUGAGUGGAUCCUGAGUACGACGGAGCACGUGAAAUUCCGUUGGAAUCUGGGAGGACCAUCUCCUAAGGCUAAAUACUCUCUAGUGACCGAUAGUGAACCAGUACCGUGAGGGAAAGGUGAAAAGCACCCCGGAAGGGGAGUGAAAUAGAACCUGAAACCGUGUGCUUACAAGUAGUCAGAGCCCGUUAAUGGGUGAUGGCGUGCCUUUUGUAGAAUGAACCGGCGAGUUACGAUUUGAUGCAAGGUUAAGCAGUAAAUGUGGAGCCGUAGCGAAAGCGAGUCUGAAUAGGGCGUUUAGUAUUUGGUCGUAGACCCGAAACCAGGUGAUCUACCCUUGGUCAGGUUGAAGUUCAGGUAACACUGAAUGGAGGACCGAACCGACUUACGUUGAAAAGUGAGCGGAUGAACUGAGGGUAGCGGAGAAAUUCCAAUCGAACCUGGAGAUAGCUGGUUCUCUCCGAAAUAGCUUUAGGGCUAGCCUCAAGUGAUGAUUAUUGGAGGUAGAGCACUGUUUGGACGAGGGGCCCCUCUCGGGUUACCGAAUUCAGACAAACUCCGAAUGCCAAUUAAUUUAACUUGGGAGUCAGAACAUGGGUGAUAAGGUCCGUGUUCGAAAGGGAAACAGCCCAGACCACCAGCUAAGGUCCCAAAAUAUAUGUUAAGUGGAAAAGGAUGUGGCGUUGCCCAGACAACUAGGAUGUUGGCUUAGAAGCAGCCAUCAUUUAAAGAGUGCGUAAUAGCUCACUAGUCGAGUGACACUGCGCCGAAAAUGUACCGGGGCUAAACAUAUUACCGAAGCUGUGGAUUGUCCUUUGGACAAUGGUAGGAGAGCGUUCUAAGGGCGUUGAAGCAUGAUCGUAAGGACAUGUGGAGCGCUUAGAAGUGAGAAUGCCGGUGUGAGUAGCGAAAGACGGGUGAGAAUCCCGUCCACCGAUUGACUAAGGUUUCCAGAGGAAGGCUCGUCCGCUCUGGGUUAGUCGGGUCCUAAGCUGAGGCCGACAGGCGUAGGCGAUGGAUAACAGGUUGAUAUUCCUGUACCACCUAUAAUCGUUUUAAUCGAUGGGGGGACGCAGUAGGAUAGGCGAAGCGUGCGAUUGGAUUGCACGUCUAAGCAGUAAGGCUGAGUAUUAGGCAAAUCCGGUACUCAUUAAGGCUGAGCUGUGAUGGGGAGAAGACAUUGUGUCUUCGAGUCGUUGAUUUCACACUGCCGAGAAAAGCCUCUAGAUAGAAAAUAGGUGCCCGUACCGCAAACCGACACAGGUAGUCAAGAUGAGAAUUCUAAGGUGAGCGAGCGAACUCUCGUUAAGGAACUCGGCAAAAUGACCCCGUAACUUCGGGAGAAGGGGUGCUCUUUAGGGUUAACGCCCAGAAGAGCCGCAGUGAAUAGGCCCAAGCGACUGUUUAUCAAAAACACAGGUCUCUGCUAAACCGUAAGGUGAUGUAUAGGGGCUGACGCCUGCCCGGUGCUGGAAGGUUAAGAGGAGUGGUUAGCUUCUGCGAAGCUACGAAUCGAAGCCCCAGUAAACGGCGGCCGUAACUAUAACGGUCCUAAGGUAGCGAAAUUCCUUGUCGGGUAAGUUCCGACCCGCACGAAAGGCGUAACGAUUUGGGCACUGUCUCAACGAGAGACUCGGUGAAAUCAUAGUACCUGUGAAGAUGCAGGUUACCCGCGACAGGACGGAAAGACCCCGUGGAGCUUUACUGUAGCCUGAUAUUGAAAUUCGGCACAGCUUGUACAGGAUAGGUAGGAGCCUUUGAAACGUGAGCGCUAGCUUACGUGGAGGCGCUGGUGGGAUACUACCCUAGCUGUGUUGGCUUUCUAACCCGCACCACUUAUCGUGGUGGGAGACAGUGUCAGGCGGGCAGUUUGAC
rnacentral:rRNA from 1 species